GAGCUGUCCGAGAGCCGCUUCAGAUGGCGGCUGAAUAGUCUAUCACCCUCCUUUCAGAGCUCGGUCUUCUGGGUAUGCAUUUGUUUGCUUUUGUUUUGUGCUCAAAUAAAGUUGUAGCUUUGUUCUCGCCUUUCCAAACGCCCUUUAGUAUUCUCAGUGAAAGGUCUGGAAAUAAUGCUGGCAGCUUCUGUGAGCCUGAUGGGAGCGAGCACCGAUCAGAUGGGCGAUUCCCCGGCAUUUUUUAUUUACUAACAACAGGCUCUUAUCUCGAGCUGUGCCCAGCUCUGGAAAAACUCCUCUCCACCCCUCCAUCCCCCCGCAUCGGAGCUGUGAUUUGUGUAACUGGCUGCGCCGUAAUCGCCCGCCUUGAUCAGAGCUUCAUCCCACUUUGCUCCCACCCGGCUGAAUUUUUGACUUGAUAAAUUGGAUGGGGAUUUCAGUGGGAUCUCAGGGCCUUCCAGGCUGCUCGUCGCUUGGCUGAACUUUGUCAAACAUGGGUUGCACUGUAUCCGGCACAGAGAUAGGGGUGCAAUGAGUUGGAGGAAGCUGGGAAGGCGUAACAGAUCCGGACGCUGCCCUCUGUCCUGGACACCGUGUGAGGAGGCAUCAGUGCUCCCCAGCCAGAAGAAAGACUUCUCUGACCUUCGUUUCUCUGCUCAGUGGCCAUGCCAGGAGCUGCUGCUGGAAGCCCAGUGCCGGGUCCAUGGGGAGAUCUGCCUGAGGAGCAGCCCUGAGGCCAUGAAGAAGCGUGCAGCAGGUUCCUGAUGUUCACCUUCAGAAGCAAGAUAGCCUUUCUUUAAGGACUCGGCUCUCCUGCAGCUCCGGUGCUCACAAUGGGUGCUCUCACCUCGCCCUGCGCAUCGCUCCAUGCUGUGGUGCUCUGGUUUCUCAACUGAAAAAAAAAAAAUGGGAAAAAGAGAAAAUGUGGGUUUCCAUGGAGACAACUGUUCUGCUCUAAAAUCUGAGGGCAGGCAAGUACUGUAUCUCAUAUUUUGAUGCAGAUGCUUGGGUUUAACUUCAGGGGAAAGGUUGGCUGAGGCUGGUGGCUUAGUCCUGAGCACUUUGGAGGGGCAUUUUUGUAGGAUUCUGGGGUUUUCAGUCAAAGACGGGGGAAAAACUCACUUCAAUCCUCUACAAGGUGAUUUACCAAGGAGAAGGUGGGGAUGAUGUAAUCCUCUGGGGGAAUAACCCACAUCGCCUGGCUUGGGGUGUCUAUAAUGCAGAUCCACGUGGAGGACCCAGUCUAUACGCAGCAUCUCUGUUUGCCAAGAGGGAGAAGAUGUGUUUCCUCUCCUUAUCCUAAAGCACUUGAGGAGUCAGAGUUGCCUUGACACAGCCAGGAGCACUGGGAUGAAGGGAGAAGCCCUUGCAGGAAGUUUUACCCACAGCUGUGGUCCUGAGCACCGACUGGAGAGAGGCAGCUCCUGAACUACCCACACACUGGGAAUGCGAAUGCUUUGUUUCAAUAACAUUUAACAGCGAUUGCCUCGGCAACCUCUGGCCUGCUGUGAUUAAAUAUUAAUAUGCUUCUA
ensembl:lncRNA